UUAAGCGACUAAGCGUACACGGUGGAUGCCCUGGCAGUCAGAGGCGAUGAAGGACGUGCUAAUCUGCGAAAAGCGUCGGUAAGGUGAUAUGAACCGUUACAGCCGGCGAUGUCCGAAUGGGGAAACCCAGUGUGAUUCGUCACACUAUCGUUAACUGAAUACAUAGGUUAACGAGGCGAACCGGGAGAACUGAAACAUCUAAGUACCCCGAGGAAAAGAAAUCAACCGAGAUUCCCCCAGUAGCGGCGAGCGAACGGGGAGCAGCCCAGAGUCUGAAUCAGCUUGUGUGUUAGUGGAACGGUCUGGAAAGUCCGACGGUACAGGGUGAUAGUCCCGUACACCAAAAUGCACAGGUUGUGAACUCGAAGAGUAGGGCGGGACACGUGGUAUCCUGUCUGAAUAUGGGGGGACCAUCCUCCAAGGCUAAAUACUCCUGACUGACCGAUAGUGAACCAGUACCGUGAGGGAAAGGCGAAAAGAACCCCGGCGAGGGGAGUGAAAAAGAACCUGAAACCGUGUACGUACAAGCAGUGGGAGCACCUUCGGGUGUGACUGCGUACCUUUUGUAUAAUGGGUCAGCGACUUAUAUUCUGUAGCAAGGUUAACCGUAUAGGGGAGCCGCAGGGAAACCGAGUCUUAACUGGGCGUUAAGUUGCAGGGUAUAGACCCGAAACCCGGUGAUCUAGCCAUGGGCAGGUUGAAGGUUGGGUAACACUAACUGGAGGACCGAACCGACUAAUGUUGAAAAAUUAGCGGAUGACUUGUGGCUGGGGGUGAAAGGCCAAUCAAACCGGGAGAUAGCUGGUUCUCCCCGAAAGCUAUUUAGGUAGCGCCUCGUGAACUCAUCUUCGGGGGUAGAGCACUGUUUCGGCUAGGGGGUCAUCCCGACUUACCAACCCGAUGCAAACUACGAAUACCGAAGAAUGUUAUCACGGGAGACACACGGCGGGUGCUAACGUCCGUCGUGAAGAGGGAAACAACCCAGACCGCCAGCUAAGGUCCCAAAGUCAUGGUUAAGUGGGAAACGAUGUGGGAAGGCACAGACAGCCAGGAUGUUGGCUUAGAAGCAGCCAUCAUUUAAAGAAAGCGUAAUAGCUCACUGGUCGAGUCGGCCUGCGCGGAAGAUGUAACGGGGCUAAACCAUGCACCGAAGCUGCGGCAGCGACACUAUGUGUUGUUGGGUAGGGGAGCGUUCUGUAAGCCUGCGAAGGUGUGCUGUGAGGCAUGCUGGAGGUAUCAGAAGUGCGAAUGCUGACAUAAGUAACGAUAAAGCGGGUGAAAAGCCCGCUCGCCGGAAGACCAAGGGUUCCUGUCCAACGUUAAUCGGGGCAGGGUGAGUCGACCCCUAAGGCGAGGCCGAAAGGCGUAGUCGAUGGGAAACAGGUUAAUAUUCCUGUACUUGGUGUUACUGCGAAGGGGGGACGGAGAAGGCUAUGUUAGCCGGGCGACGGUUGUCCCGGUUUAAGCAUGUAGGCUGAUUGUCCAGGCAAAUCCGGAUAAUCAAGGCUGAGGUGUGAUGACGAGGCACUACGGUGCUGAAGUAACAAAUGCCCUGCUUCCAGGAAAAGCCUCUAAGCAUCAGGUAACAUCAAAUCGUACCCCAAACCGACACAGGUGGUCAGGUAGAGAAUACCAAGGCGCUUGAGAGAACUCGGGUGAAGGAACUAGGCAAAAUGGUGCCGUAACUUCGGGAGAAGGCACGCUGGUGUGUAGGUGAAGUCCCUGCGGAUGGAGCUGAGACCAGUCGAAGAUACCAGCUGGCUGCAACUGUUUAUUAAAAACACAGCACUGUGCAAACACGAAAGUGGACGUAUACGGUGUGACGCCUGCCCGGUGCCGGAAGGUUAAUUGAUGGGGUUAUCCGUAAGGAGAAGCUCUUGAUCGAAGCCCCGGUAAACGGCGGCCGUAACUAUAACGGUCCUAAGGUAGCGAAAUUCCUUGUCGGGUAAGUUCCGACCUGCACGAAUGGCGUAAUGAUGGCCAGGCUGUCUCCACCCGAGACUCAGUGAAAUUGAACUCGCUGUGAAGAUGCAGUGUACCCGCGGCAAGACGGAAAGACCCCGUGAACCUUUACUAUAGCUUGACACUGAACAUUGAGCCUUGAUGUGUAGGAUAGGUGGGAGGCUUUGAAGCGUGGACGCCAGUCUGCGUGGAGCCAACCUUGAAAUACCACCCUUUAAUGUUUGAUGUUCUAACGUUGGCCCCUGACCGGGGUUGCGGACAGUGUCUGGUGGGUAGUUUGACUGGGGCGGUCUCCUCCCAAAGCGUAACGGAGGAGCACGAAGGUUAGCUAAUCCUGGUCGGACAUCAGGAGGUUAGUGCAAUGGCAUAAGCUAGCUUGACUGCGAGCGUGACGGCGCGAGCAGGUGCGAAAGCAGGUCAUAGUGAUCCGGUGGUUCUGAAUGGAAGGGCCAUCGCUCAACGGAUAAAAGGUACUCCGGGGAUAACAGGCUGAUACCGCCCAAGAGUUCAUAUCGACGGCGGUGUUUGGCACCUCGAUGUCGGCUCAUCACAUCCUGGGGCUGAAGUAGGUCCCAAGGGUAUGGCUGUUCGCCAUUUAAAGUGGUACGCGAGCUGGGUUUAGAACGUCGUGAGACAGUUCGGUCCCUAUCUGCCGUGGGCGCUGGAGAAUUGAGGGGGGCUGCUCCUAGUACGAGAGGACCGGAGUGGACGCAUCACUGGUGUUCGGGUUGUCAUGCCAAUGGCACUGCCCGGUAGCUAAAUGCGGAAGAGAUAAGUGCUGAAAGCAUCUAAGCACGAAACUUGCCCCGAGAUGAGUUCUCCCUGAGACUUUAAGUCUCCUGAAGGAACGUUGAAGACGACGACGUUGAUAGGCCGGGUGUGUAAGCGCAGCGAUGCGUUGAGCUAACCGGUACUAAUGAACCGUGAGGCUUAACCUU
rnacentral:rRNA from 1 species